UACGUAGGGGGCAAGCGUUGUUCGGAAUUACUGGGCGUAAAGGGCGCGUAGGCGGCACAGCAAGUCGGGAGUGAAAGCCCGGGGCUCAACCCCGGAAUGUCUUUCGAAACUGCUGAGCUCGAGUGCGGAAGAGGCAACUGGAAUUCCCAGUGUAGCGGUGAAAUGCGUAGAUAUUGGGAAGAACACCUGAGGCGAAGGCGGGUUGCUGGGCCGACACUGACGCUGAGGCGCGAAAGCCAGGGGAGCGAACAGG
rnacentral:rRNA from 1 species